ACAGGUAGGGUGGCUGAGAGCUUAAGCGGUGGAUUGUAGCUCCAUAAACAGAGGUUUAAAUCCUCUCCUUAUCA
rnacentral:tRNA from 1 species